rnacentral:rRNA from 1 species
UACGUAGGGGGCAAGCGUUGUCCGGAUUUAUUGGACGUAAAGAGUGUGUAGGCGGCUUUACAGGUCCGUUGUGAAAACUCGAGGCUCAACCUCGAGACGCCGGUGGAAACCGUAAAGCUAGAGUCCGGAAGAGGAGAGUGGAAUUCCUGGUGUAGCGGUGAAAUGCGCAGAUAUCAGGAAGAACACCCGUGGCGAAGGCGGCUCUCUGGGACGGUACUGACGCUGAGACGCGAAAGCGUGGGGAGCGAACAGG